UAGGAGAUGGCAAAAGGCGGUAGUCAGCUUCUCUCCCUGUAGGCAGUGCCCAUGGCAGCCAGUGAGGCUGUGAAGCAGGACAAAGACGACAGGCGGCGGCACGUGUGAGCAGCCACCCCGUCACCACAAUGAAGCUUUUCCCUGUAAUCCUGGACACACCAGCCCUUGUUUAUCGUAGCACACAGUAUGGACAUUGGACUGGACUGCUGCUGGAAUAAGUAAACAUAACAAAGGAUGACAUGAAAACAGAUGGCGACUCUUGGCUGCAGUAAAUGUUCCUCUUUGACAGUCACUAUUGUUUUCUAGACUAUAUUUAUGAUGAAUCUGGCCCUCUCUGAGCAGACAUCAGUGGCUGUGGAAGUGAGCCCUCUCAUGGCCAAACCACCGCAAGCAUUUUCAUGAUGGUAAAGGAAACAAGAAAUGAUUGCUGGGUUAUUCCUGAACUGUUGGGAGGUCAACAAAUGCAACUUGAAACUAUGCUUAUAUGUAUUAUCUUAGUCUCUAUACAGGCAAUGACCCAAGACAGAAAAUACUGAACAAAUAUUUAGUUCCUCAUUGUUUGAAGUUGGUUUAGAUGUUGUUUGAAUGCAUCAGUGGAAAGAUACUGGAGCUCCCACACAAGUAUUCAAAACAACUAUGCAUAUGGUGAAUUACACAAGACUGUAUGUCAAAGUGCAGGUUGAUAUUGCAGGAGUUUUAGUCAUGAGCAAAUAGCACACAUCAUUCUUACAAUAUUUCAGCGGCGCUGUCAAAUUAAUUUGCAUAAGAUUUAAGGAUGUGUUGUAAGAUUUAUGAAAAGCCAGUUCCGGUUCUGCAGCUUCUCAGAAAAAAAGGAUCCCUUGAAGGAUAAAGUGUUUGUACUUUCAUGCUGCAACCAGUGACAAGUCUGCUACUGUAAAGGUUUGGACUUCCGGUUAUGACUUGAGAAAAUAAAACUUGUGGGCUGAGCAUUUAAUAAUUCAGGAAUGUGCA